GGGGGCGAAUUUGGCUUCGACGUGGAUGAAGAAACUGGAGGUGCAUGUCGAGAAUACAGAUCAUCUCGUUAAACCGUCUGUCGUCUUAUAGUUGCAAACGAUAACAACUACGCACUAGCUGCCUAAACACCAGUGUAGUGCUGUCUGACUGGAGCCGUGCUUAUGCGUCCAGCGUUCUGCUUGCAGAACACCUCAGGCAUCAUCUCUCAUAAGAUCGCGUGGAAGCUUGUCUGCAGCCGAAGCGUUAAGAGUUAAGCAGAAACAUCAGACUAUAGCCCGAGCUUCGGCGAUUUUCUGAUUAAUUAAAUGAAGCAUCUAAACAUGUAGAGCCAAAAGCGGACCAUUUACGGACGCGGGUUCAACCCCCGCCGCCUCCACCA
rnacentral:tmRNA from 1 species